UUAACUUUAACAAAAUUUUUAAAUCUGUUCUUAUCAGUUUAAUAUCUGAUAUGUUCUCUAUCUGAGAGCUUUAUAUUAAAUGAAUUUUUGGAACAGGGAGAUGGAAUAGGAGCUUGCUCCAUCCAAAAAAUAAAAAAUAAAAAAUCACUCUCCUGUAGCCAGCUGGCCCGACCUUGU
rnacentral:snRNA from 1 species